rfam:Anditalea andensis strain LY1 Contig_26, whole genome shotgun sequence.
CAAAGACUGGCCUUCCGAUGGCGACUUGCCGGAGUAGCUAUCAAACCACCUUACGCUGCAAUUAGUGGAAAUACUGUUGUGGUGAACGGCUAAGGAAAAACGGAGACAUCGAUCCCUGAAGGU